rnacentral:rRNA from 1 species
CACGUAGGGGGCGAGCGUUGUCCGGAUUUAUUGGGCGUAAAGAGCUCGUAGGCGGCUCAGUAAGUCAGGUGUGAAAACUCCAGGCUCAACCUGGAGACGCCACCUGAUACUGCUGUGGCUAGAGUCCGGUAGGGGAGCAUGGAAUUCCUGGUGUAGCGGUGAAAUGCGCAGAUAUCAGGAGGAACACCAGUGGCGAAGGCGGUGCUCUGGGCCGGAACUGACGCUGAGGAGCGAAAGCGUGGGAGCGAACAGG